rnacentral:rRNA from 1 species
UACAGAGGUCUCAAGCGUUGUUCGGAUUCACUGGGCGUAAAGGGUGCGCAGGCGGCCAAGUGUGUGAGGCGUGAAAGCCUGGAGCUUAACUCCAGAAUUGCACCUCAAACUACUUGGCUAGAGCAUUGGAGAGGGUAGCGGAAUUCACGGUGUAGCAGUGAAAUGCGUAGAUAUCGUGAGGAACACCAGAGGCGAAGGCGGCUACCUGGACAAUUGCUGACGCUCAGGCACGAAAGCGUGGGGAGCAAAAGGG